rnacentral:rRNA from 1 species
GACGAACGCUGGCGGCGCGCCUAACACAUGCAAGUCGAGCGAUGAAAUUUUAACCGUUCUCUUCGGAGAGAAGAUAAAAUGGAUUAGCGGCGGACGGGUGAGUAACACGUGAGAAACCUGCCUUUCACAAGGGGAUAGCCUCGGGAAACCGGGAUUAAUACCCUAUGACACAUUUCCUUCGCAUGGAAGAAAUGUUAAAACUCCGGUGGUGAAAGAGGGUCUCGCGCCUGAUUAGCUAGUUGGUGGGGUAACGGCCCACCAAGGCCAUGAUCAGUAACCGGCAUGAGAGGGUGGACGGUCACAUUGGAGCUAGGAAACGGUCGGAACUCCUACGGGAGGCAGCAGUGGGGAAUAUUGCACCGUGGAGGAAGCUCUGAUGCAGCGACGCCGCGUGAGCGAUGAAAGCUUUCGAGUAGUAAAGCUCAGUCCUAUGGGAAGAUAAUGACGGUACCAUAGGAGAAAGCCCCGGCUAACUACGUG